GACGAACGCUGGCGGCGUGCCUAAUACAUGCAAGUCGAACGCUUCUUUCCUCCCGAGUGCUUGCCCUCAAUUGGAAAGAGGAGUGGCGGACGGGUGAGUAACACGUGGGUAACCUACCCAUCAGAGGGGGAUAACACUUGGAAACAGGUACUAAUACCGCAUAACAGUUUAUGCCGCAUGGCAUAAGAGUGAAAGGCGCUUUCGGGUGUCGCUGAUGGAUGGACCCGCGGUGCAUUAGCUAGUUGGUGAGGUAACGGCUCACCAAGGCCACGAUGCAUAGCCGACCUGAGAGGGUGAUCGGCCACACUGGGACUGAGACACGGCCCAGACUCCUACGGGAGGCAGCAGUAGGGAAUCUUCGGCAAUGGACGAAAGUCUGACCGAGCAACGCCGCGUGAGUGAAGAAGGUUUUCGGAUCGUAAAACUCUGUUGUUAGAGAAGAACAAGGACGUUAGUAACUGAACGUCCCCUGACGGUAUCUAACCAGAAAGCCACGGCUAACUACGUG
rnacentral:rRNA from 1 species